UACGGAGGGGGCAAGCGUUGUCCGGAAUUAUUGGGCGUAAAGCGCGCGCAGGCGGCUUCUUAAGUCUGAUGUGAAAGCCCACGGCUCAACCGUGGAGGGUCAUUGGAAACUGGGAAGCUUGAGUGCAGAAGAGGAGAGUGGAAUUCCACGUGUAGCGGUGAAAUGCGUAGAUAUGUGGAGGAACACCAGUGGCGAAAGCGGCUCUCUGGUCUGUAACUGACGCUGAGGCGCGAAAGCGUGGGGAGCAAACAGG
rnacentral:rRNA from 1 species